rnacentral:lncRNA from 1 species
CCAAAUCCUUGGUUUUCUUCUAGACCAUUUAGGAACAUCCCUAACAUGUCUGAUUUUCUGGUUGACCGAAAUUGAGCUUUUUCCUUUUUUUUUUUCUAACAAACAGGGUUCCAAUAUCAGUAUUGAGCACUGUGUGCUGUAAGCCUCAUUGUGACUUUGGCUUGUGUCAGUGAGGUUUUAGCAGCUCCUCCCCUGCUGCCUGCUGUUUCACUUUCUUUGGUUUUAGUUUUGAUUUUAGUUAUCUGCUGUCAACUUUGGUCUGGAUAAUAUUAAAUGGAAAAUUCCAGAAAUAAUUUAUACAUUUUAAAUGGCACCCCUUUCUGACUAGCGUGAUGGAAUCUUGAGCCGUCCAGCCCAGGACAUGAAUCAUCCCUGUGUCCAGCAUCUCCAGCUGUCUACGCUCCCAGCCCGUGAGUCACUGAGGAGCCAUCUCCACGGCACCUGGAUUACUUGGAGCCAAAGAAGAAGCUAGAGUCCGCAGAGACACAGAAGGUGAUUAUGGGAGGGGAUGGCACCAAGGACAUAGGUGGCAGAUGCAACCUUGGAAACGAUGAGGCUCACCUUCUUCUAUAAGGUUGCAAAAAAGCAACGAAAACAUGCACAUUUACAGCAAAUUAGAGAACUGGGCAGGAGAAAAGUUGAAAGGAGUUGUCAGCUGACCUAAGUGAUCUGUCCAGAAAGGGUCACGGUGGGGGGUUUGGAGGUCAGAGGAGAAAGAACAAUAAUUUCAAUGAAAAAAAUCUAUUUUCUAAUUUGAGAAAUUAGAUAGAAAGAUAACUGAAAAUAUGUUGAAAGUGACCUUGCAUCAUUUAGGAACUGUUGGGUUUUUGUACUCAUCUUUAGUAAUUUUAUCCUGAAUACGCACAUGAGGUGUUUGGGAUCAGAGGCUGAUUCCUCAUCGAACACCUCAGUAUAAGUAGCACAUGUCAGCCUCACUUUGCCCUCAUCUCUACCCCAGGCCAACGUGCCGAGCACCAAGCCAGUUGUCCUGUAGGAGUAGUCAGACACCUUAUAGGUGAAGGCUGAAGAAAAGUGACUUUAUCAAGGGGAAGGAGGGAGCUCGCUACCACCCCAGUGAAAAGGUCUCUUGAUGGGGUCCACAGACUACAAGUGAAAAACCUCUACCCUCUAGAGAAUGAGGAAGACAUACAUAUGAAGAACUAUGGCUAAUAAUUUUCCAAAAUUGAAAAAGAACAUGAGUUUCUGAAACUGAAGAACUGAAGAAGUUCACUGAUACUCAAGUAUAAACUAACACAUACCAGACACCGUGGUGAAACUGCAGAUGGCCAACAUUAACAAUAAAAUCUUAAAAGAAUUCAGAAUGAAAAUCACAUGAUCUCUAAAGAAUCAAAAGUGCACUAAUGAGUAAUAUAUUUUAAAAUACUCGUGUAAAAUUAUUGUCAGCCUAGAUAGAAAUCUGGCUCAGCCUAACCAGCACUUGACUAUAAAGGAAACUGGACAUUUCAGACACAGGGAACAAAUGUACAAUCUAUAGAUCUUCACCAAAAAAUGUACUUAUGGAAAUUAAAUAAGAAGAAAAGAAUGUUUCCAAGAAGAAGCAGUGGACAUUACAAAAUGUGCUGGUAAAGCUAAAUAGAUAUGGCCUGAAAAAAUAAAGCAGGGAGAUGAAUAAAAGCAAUGCUGAAAUAAAACCACAAUGAAAGGGAAGUUUGGAUGGAAGUGACUAAGUUUUUAAAAAUAUUAUUUGGGAAGAAGGUGGUAUUGAUGUAGACUUGGUUGACAAGUAUUAAUUUGUGUCUGUGCAUAUAAACAAAAGACAAUCAUUGAAAGAAUAAAAAUAGAACUAUUGGGGGAAAUAUGGGUGGAGAGGAGGAAAAGUUUAUUAAUCCAACAAAAAAAGAAAAAGGAGAAAAAAUGAAAAGAAAAAGCAUGGUAAAUAAAACAAAAUGAUAGAAAUGUGGCAAAUAAACCAGUUACCAUAAUAAAUAUAAAUGGGCUAAAUUAACCCAUUAAAAGAAAAUCUCAAACCAAAAAAUUUGAAACAUAGAGAAACAACUGAAACAUAAUGCUGCAAACAUAUUGAAAAUAAAACACUUGGAAAAUGUAAAUCAGUGCAAAAGAAAGUAGGACCAGGUAUAGCAAUUGUAAUACCAGACAAAAUAAGGGCAAAAGGGUAACAUUACUUAUGAUUAAAAGGAAGAAUUCAGGCCCGGCGCGGUGGCUCACGCCUGUAAUCCCAGCACUUUGGGAGGCCGAGGCGGGCAGAUCAUGAGGUCAGGAGAUCGAGACCACCCUGGCUAAUAGGGUGAAACCCCGUCUCUACUAAAAAUACAAAAAAUUACCCGGGUGUGGUGGCGGGCGCCUGUAGUCCCAGCUACUUGGGAGGCUGAGGCAGGAGAAUGGCGUGAACCCAGGAGGCGGAGCUUGCAGUGAGCCGAGAUCGUGUCACUGCACUCCAGCCUGGGCAACAGAGCAAGACUCCGUCUAAAAAAAAAAAAAAAAAAAAAAAAAAAGAGAAAAACAAGGCAAAAAUACUAAGUAUAUAGAAGAUGUUAACAAUGUAAUUUGCAAGAUUGACCUAGUAGCCGCUUACAUACAAACCUUGCAUUAAAGCAAAAGAUAACAUGCUUUUAGCAUAAACAUUUAUGAAUAAUUAUGAAUAAUUAUAUGCUCAUAAUGAGUAACAAGGAAAAAUUUCUAGCAAGGAAACAACCAAAAUGGACCUGAAGAUGUACAAAACUUGAAAAGAGAAACUUCAUUAAAUACAUUGAAGUGGAAGUGUAAAUAAUCCAACUUCCCCAAAAUGUACUGGCUCUUUCAUUUCAUAUGUGAGUUUACACCAAACCUUUGAUUGCUCUUACACACACUGUUUGAAAGAAAAAGGAGAGGUGGGUACUUAGACCAAAAUGGAACUUUCUUAAUUUGAUAAUAGGUAUUAAUAUUUACCAAAAACCUAUAGCAGACAUAAUUUCAUUUAAAAAAUUUAGAAGCAUUUCUCAAAGUCAGGAAGUAAACACAGAUGUCCAUCGUUACUCUUUCUAGCCAACAUUUGUCCCAGCCAAAGUAACAAUACAGGGAUCUGAGAAGUAAGAAGUAUAAUAAUAAAAAGGAUGACUCUUUUUUCGGCACUAUCAUCAUCUUAAUGGAAAAAUCAGUUGAGUUCUACAAUCAAAAUAUUAAAACUAAGCUGGGUAUGGUGGUGUGCAUCUGUAGUUCCAGCUACUUGGGAGGCUGAGGCAGAAGGAUCAUUUGAGGCAGAAGGAUCAUUUGAGCCCAGGAGUUCAAGGCCAGCCUGGACAAUAUAACAAGACCCCAUCUUCCUCUUUCUCUCUCUCUCUCUCUCGGCAUAUGUAUGUAUUUUUAUAUACAUAUAUAUGUAAACUAAUAACAAUGAUCAGUAAAGUUGCUGGCUUAAAAACUAUCAUGAAAAAAUCAAUAAUAAUCACUUUGAAAAUUUAACAGAAAAAAGAACCCAUUCUCAAUAGAAACAAAAACUAUAAACACCCUGGUAAUGAAUUCUAAUAAUUAUGGGCCAAACCUAAAUGGAGAAUAUCAUAAAAUAUUAAAGGACAUAUAAAAGGCUGUGUGAAUAGAGAGAUAUACCAUAUUUAUGGACAAGAGACUUCACGAUUAUAAAGGCAUGAAUUCAGUGUAAUUCCAAUAAAAAAAAACCAGGAGAGUUUUUCAAAAAACCUGAAAAAUUGAUUUUAAAAUUUACAUGAAAAACAGUCCAGGCAUGGUAGUUCACACCUGCAAUCCCAGCACUCUGGGAGGCCAACGUGAGUGAAUCACUUGAGGUCAGGAGUUUGAAACCAGCCUGGCCAACAUGAUGAAACCGCGUCUCUACAAAAAUACAAAAAUUAGCUGGACAUGGUGGCAUGCACCUGCAAUUCCAGCUACUCAGGGCGCUAAGGUGGGAGAAUCACUUAAACCCAGGAGGUGGAGGCUGCAGUGAGCUGAGAUCAUGCCAUUGCACUCCAGCCUGGAUGACAGAGUGAGACUCUGUCUCAAAAAAAAAAAUUACAUGAAAAAUAAAUGUCUAAAAACAGCCAAUACAACUCUGAAGAAGACAUGGUGGGGACACUUGCCCUAGCAGGUACCAGAUGCAUUGUACAGCUAUUAGGGAGAUACUGGUUUAAGAAGAAAAAAGCCAGAACAACAGACGAGAAUAGGGCACCCAUUAAAAAUAGCUUUAUAUAUGACAAAAAUAGCAUUACGGAUAAAGAAGGAAUGGACUGACUUUUGAGACAACUGGGUAUUCCCACUCAGAAAGCAAAAGAAAAUUAUUUGCCUACUUCACAUCCACAUGAAAAAUAACUUCUUGUCUGAUUAAAGAACUGAAUACAAAAACAAAAAUGUUUUUGAAAGAACUCAUUCCCUCCUUAGUGCCCAAGCAGUGGUUUCUAAAACACCCAAGUUCCUGAAAGUUUAUUUUCAUAGAAUACUACAAGGAUAAAUUAACUUUCAUACUGGCCAAAUACUCUCCAGAGAAAGAUCAGUGUCUAUAAAUUCAUGAUUAACCAGUGAAGCAUUCACGAUCUUCAGCAAUCCACUUCUUGUUAGACUUGACCACA